UGUAGAUUUGUUGGUGAACCCGUAAAACCAACGGUGAAGGUUUGUUGGUGAGCCCGUAAAACCAACAUAGGUUUUUGGUGAUCCCGAAAAACCAAGUGUAAAGGUUUUUGGAUUGUGAGCCCGGAAAACAAUCCAACUGUAAUCCGCGGGAUUAUAGUGAAUUCCCAAGGGGUCGCUUGGGGAGUGGACGUAGGUGCAUAGGAGAGCACCGAACCACUAUACUUCUUGUUGUUUGUAUUGUGUAUU
rnacentral:lncRNA from 1 species